CCUACGGGCGGCAGCAGUGAGGAAUAUUGGUCAAUGGCCGGAAGGCUGAACCAGCCAAGCCGCGUGAAGGACGAAGGUGCCAAGCAUUGUAAACUUCUUUUGUCAAGGGACAAAAUCAGGCUCGAGAGCCUGACCGAGGGUACUUGAAGAAAAAGCAUCGGCUAACUCCGUGCCAGCAGCCGCGGUAAUACGGAGGAUGCGAGCGUUAUCCGGAUUUAGUGGGUUAAAAGGGUGCGUAGGCGGACUGUUAAGUCAGCGGUAAAAGCCCGGGGCUCAACCCCGGCGAGCCGUUGAAACUGGUUGUCUUGAGAUGUCGAGAGGUAUGCGGAAUGCGCAGUGUAGCGGUGAAAUGCUUAGAUAUUGCGCAGAACUCCGAUGGCGAAGGCAGCAUACCGGCGGCGAUCUGACGCUGAGGCACGAAAGCGUGGGUAUCGAACAGGAUUAGAUACCCUUGUAGUC
rnacentral:rRNA from 1 species